GCUAUAAUAUCUUUAGAUUGAGAUGCUGGUGUAGAUGCUUGCAAGCUGCCAGCAGCCCUCGCACGGACAGAGAAGCAAGGAUACUUGUAAUCGUUCCCGUUGAGAAAUCUGGAUGCCGUAAAAGGCAAAGCGAGUAGGCGUACGAUCAUUUCGAGAAGUCAAAAGCUAACAAAGCGUGGUCGGAAUAAUAGACGCUCCUGUGGAGAAUAACCUAUUAGACAACUCUUUGGCAAGGGUGUGAAAAACUUGAUAGGAAAGCCAAACAAUCCGAUUCGUAGUGAAGAGAUUAAAAUCUCGUAUAACACGCUAUGUUGAACAAGUAGCCCAAUCUACGUUUGAAGAUAAUUCUUUCCGAAUGGCAUUUAUUCAAAAAGAAAAAAUCCGAAAGCGGGUGAAAGUUAGAGGUUUCAAGCCUCUUGUCUCAACGGGCAGCGGCGUUUGAGUCGUUGUCGGGCUUAACUGCAUUAGGGUAGCUCCUUAAUGCACGGGUUAAGUUCGGGCAUGGCCGAAGAUGAUGAGUCGGAUGAUUGUAGGGUGAACAAAAGCCCCUCAAUCUUUUUUUGUUGCA
rnacentral:sRNA from 12 species